UACGUAGGGGGGCAAGCGUUUGUCCGGAAUCAUUGGGCGUAAAGCGCGUGUAGGCGGCUUGGUAAGUCCGCUCUGAAAGCCCGGGGCUCAACCCUGGGAGGCGGGUGGAUACUGCUGGGCUCGAGUCCGGAAGAGGAGUGUGGAAUUCCUGGUGUAGCGGUGAAAUGCGCAGAUAUCAGGAGGAAUACCGAUGGCGAAGGCAAUCCCCUGGGCCUGCACUGACGCUCAUGCACGAAAGCGUGGGGAGCAAACAGG
rnacentral:rRNA from 1 species